rnacentral:rRNA from 1 species
UCGGAAUUACUGGGCGUAAAGCGUGCGCAGGCGGUUAUGUAAGACAGAUGUGAAAUCCCCGGGCUUAACCUGGGAACUGCAUUUGAAACUGCAUGGCUAGAGUGCGGCAGAGGGGGGUGGAAUUCCACGUGUAGCAGUGAAAUGCGUAGAUAUGUGGAGGAACACCGAUGGCGAAGGCAGCCCCCUGGGAUAACACUGACGCUCAGGCACGAAAG